rnacentral:misc_RNA from 1 species
GGGCCAGAUAAUUGGUUAUAUGCAUGCAGAAGUCAGGGGGGGAAAAACCAUUUAGCACACACCCUAGCUUCUUCUUUCUUGGGCGUUCUAGCUCUCUCUAAUUUUUGUUGUGCAUGAAGAAAAAAUAAAAAAACUCAUUUUGGAACAACCAUCCUUAUCUCCCCUUGGUACUGUGGUUUAACUUUGGUAGGUUUUCCUCUCCUUUUUUCUUUUCUCCUACUGGUUUUUUAGUAC